rnacentral:lncRNA from 1 species
AUUUUCACAACUUCUUCAACACUUCAAGAUGUGUGCGAAGGAGAGCAUAUAGUUGAACCUCUUGUUCGAAGAUAUACUGACAAUUUGAUUAUCUUGAAGAUUGAAUGCAUAGUCAAACUACCAGAACAAAACUACUCGACCCAUGGUUAAGAUUAAGAGUGCUUAAUUCCGAAAUAAACACCAACUUCUAGGCUCAAAGUGGUUGAAUAGGGAUUAACUCCUUAUCUCUUUGGUGUUUGGGGAUUUGAAACAAUACCUUCCAUCAUCAGCAAAG